rnacentral:rRNA from 1 species
GUGGGGAAUAUUGGGCAAUGGGCGAAAGCCUGACCCAGCAACGCCGCGUGAAGGAAGAAGGUCUUCGGAUCGUAAACUUCUAUCCUUGGUGAAGAUAAUGACGGUAGCCGAGAAGGAAGCCCCGGCUAACUACGUGCCAGCAGCCGCGGUAAUACGUAGGGGGCAAGCGUUGUCCGGAAUGAUUGGGCGUAAAGGGCGCGUAGGCGGCCUGGUAAGUCUGGAGUGAAAGUCCUGCUUUUAAGGUGGGAAUUGCUUUGGAUACUGUCGGGCUUGAGUGCAGGAGAGGUAAGUGGAAUUCCCGGUGUAGCGGUGAAAUGCGUAGAGAUCGGGAGGAACACCAGUGGCGAAGGCGACUUACUGGACUGUAACUGACGCUGAGGCGCGAAAGUGUGGGGAGCAAACAGGAUUAGAAACCCUUGUAGUCC